rnacentral:rRNA from 1 species
GAUGAACGCUAGCGGCAGGCUUAAUACAUGCAAGUCGAGGGGCAUCAAGGUACACGAAAGUGUAUUGUUGGCGACCGGCGGACGGGUGAGUAAUAGGUAGGUAACCUACCUCAUACUGAGGCAUAGCUGGGAGAAAUUCCAGGUAAUUCCUCAUGAGGUUAUAUGACACAUGUGAUAUAAUCAAAGGUAUCGCAAGGUACUGGUAUGAGAUGGGCUUACUGACCAUUAGCUAGUUGGUGAGAUAAGAGCUCACCAAGGCGAAGAUGGUUAGGGGUUUUGAGAGAGAGAUCCCCCACAUUGGAACUGAGAUACGGUCCAGACUCCUACGGGAGGCAGCAGUAGGGAAUAUUGGGCAAUGGGCGGAAGCCUGACCCAGCCAUGCCGCGUGAAGGAAGACGGCCUUAUGGGUUGUAAAACUUCUUUACUAUGCGACUAACUAGAUUUACGAGAUAAUUCUAUAGAAUGUAGCAUAGCAAAAAGCACCGGA